rnacentral:rRNA from 1 species
AGAGUUUGAUCAUGGCUCAGAUUGAACGCUGGCGGUAUGCUUAACACAUGCAAGUCGAACGGAAACGAACAAGAGCUUGCUCUUGGGCGUCGAGUGGCGGACGGGUGAGUAACGCGUAGGAAUCUGCCUAGUAGUGGGGGAUAGCCCAAGGAAACUUGGAUUAAUACCGCAUAAUAUCUAUGGAUUAAAGUGGAGGAUCUUCGGACUUCACGCUACUAGGUGAGCCUGCGUAAGAUUAGUUAGUUGGUGAGGUAAAAGCUCACCAAGGCGACGAUCUUUAGCCGGUCUGAGAGGAUGAUCAGCCACACUGGGACUGAGACACGGCCCAGACUCCUACGGGAGGCAGCAGUGGGGAAUAUUGGACAAUGGGGGCAACCCUGAUCCAGCAAUACCGCCCGUGCGAAGAAGGCCUGAGGGUUGUAAAGCACUCUCAAUUGUGAAGAAAAGUUAAGGAUUAAUACCCCUUAGCAUUGACGUAACUUUAGAAGAA